ACGAACGCUGGCGGCGUGCUUAACACCUGCAAGUCGAACGGAAAGGCCCUGCUUUUGUGGGGUGCUCGAGUGGCGAACGGGUGAGUAACACGUGAGUAACCUGCCCUUGACUUUGGGAUAACUUCAGGAAACUGGGGCUAAUACCGGAUAGGACCUCCUGCUGCAUGGUGGGGGUUGGAAAGUUUCGGCGGUUGGGGAUGGACUCGCGGCUUAUCAGCUUGUUGGUGGGGUAGUGGCUUACCAAGGCUUUGACGGGUAGCCGGCCUGAGAGGGUGACCGGCCACAUUGGGACUGAGAUACGGCCCAGACUCCUACGGGAGGCAGCAGUGGGGAAUAUUGCACAAUGGGCGGAAGCCUGAUGCAGCAACGCCGCGUGCGGGAUGACGGCCUUCGGGUUGUAAACCGCUUUCGCCUGUGACGAAGCGUGAGUGACGGUAAUGGGUAAAGAAGCACCGGCUAACUACGUG
rnacentral:rRNA from 1 species